rnacentral:rRNA from 1 species
UACGGGGGGGGCAAGCGUUGUUCGGAAUUACUGGGCGUAAAGGGUUCGUAGGUGGCCUGCUAAGUCAGACGUGAAAUCCCUCAGCUUAACUGGGGAACUGCGUCUGAUACUGGCGAGCUUGAGUGCAGGAGAGGAACGCAGAAUUCCAGGUGUAGCGGUGAAAUGCGUAGAUAUCUGGAGGAAUACCGGUGGCGAAGGCGGCGUUCUGGACUGCAACUGACACUGAUGAACGAAAGCCAGGGGAGCAAACGGG